GUGGGGAAUCUUGGACAAUGGGCGCAAGCCUGAUCCAGCCAUGCCGCGUGCAGGAAGACGCAUCUAUGGUGUGUAAACUGCUUUUGUACGGGAAGAAACACUCCCUCGUGAGGGAGCUUGACGGUACCGUAAGAAUAAGGAUCGGCUAACUCCGUGCCAGCAGCCGCGGUAAUACGGAGGAUCCAAGCGUUAUCCGGAAUCAUUGGGUUUAAAGGGUCCGUAGGCGGUUUAAUAAGUCAGUGGUGAAAGCCCAUCGCUCAACGAUGGAACGGCCAUUGAUACUGUUAGACUUGAAUUACAAGGAAGUAACUAGAAUAUGUAGUGUAGCGGUGAAAUGCUUAGAUAUUACAUGGAAUACCAAUUGCGAAGGCAGGUUACUACUUGUGGAUUGACGCUGAUGGACGAAAGCGUGGGGAGCGAACAGGAUUAGAUACCCGUGUAGUCC
rnacentral:rRNA from 1 species